rnacentral:rRNA from 1 species
ACUGCUCAGUAACACGUGGACAACCUGCCCUUAGGUUGGGUAUAAACCCGGGAAACUGGGUAUAAUACCCGAUAGGUCUCGAUUGCUGGAAUGCAUCGAGAUUUAAAGCUCCGGCGCCUAAGGAUGGGUCUGCGGCCUAUCAGGCAGUAGUGGGUGUAGCGUACCUACUAGCCUACGACGGGUACGGGUUGUGAGAGCAAGAGCCCGGAGAUGGAUUCUGAGACACGAAUCCAGGCCCUACGGGGUGCAGCAGGCGCGAAAACUUUACAAUGCUGGCAACAGCGAUAAGGGAACCUCGAGUGCCAGGUUACAAAUCUGGCUGUCGAGAUGCCUAAAAAGCAUUUCAUAGCAAGGGCCGGGCAAGACCGGUGCCAGCCGCCGCGGUAACACCGGCGGCUCGAGUGGUAACCGUUAUUAUUGGGUCUAAAGGGUCUGUAGCCGGCCGGAUAAGUCUCUUGAGAAAUCUGGCGGCUUAACUGUCAGGCUUUCAGGAGAUACUGUCUGGCUCGAGGCCGGGAGAGGUGAGAGGUACUUCAGGGGUAGGGGUGAAAUCUUGUAAUCCUUGAAGGACCACCAGUGGCGAAGGCGUCUCACCAGAACGGACCUGACGGCAAGGGACGAAAGCUAGGGGCACGAACCGGAUUAGAUACCCGGGUAGUCCUAGCCGUAAACGAUACUCGCUAGGUGUCGGCCACGGUGCGACCGUUGUCGGUGCCGUAGGGAAGCCGUGAAGCGAGCCACCUGGGAAGUACGGCCGCAAGGCUGAAACUUAAAGGAAUUGGCGGGGGAGCAC